AUCACAUAACCUUGAGAAGGACUAUAUUAAUCACUUUGUAAUCCCUUCACAGUCCCAGGUUUAGUGAAAAACUGCUGUAAACACGGGGGACACAGUUUAACAAUGCAACUUUUAAUGACUGUUUUCUUUUCCCUUAACUUACUAAUAGUUUGCGGAUCUGAUAAGCAAGGGCGUGUGGUUGAAGAAAACCUCUGGGGUGGGCUUAAUCAGUCACUACAUGCAAACCCUGAACCGGCACCCUGGUGACCGGGGUAAUUCGUAUAAGAAAAGCAUUGUAUGUGACUCUGUGCCCACUCAGAUGCCACCCCCACCUUGAUCAUAGAAAAAUCUUCUGCUUAGGACACCAAAGAUGAGGACUAGACACUACUCUCCUUUGCGUAUAAUCUUGUAGACACUUACUUGAUGAUUUUUUUCUUUUUUAUUCUAAAUGAGACAAAAUGCUGGUAUCUCUUUUCAUACAGCUAGCAAACCAGAAUAGGUUACUCUCGUUUUUGUUUUUUUUUUUUUUUUUCCAAAAAGGGAAGUAAACAAAUAAUAAAUGUUGACUCCUAUGUUUAUGGACUCACAUACAUCAGCAGGAGUGAUAAGCCCACAAGCUCUCUUUCCCUCCUCGGGAGAUCUACACAGCCGAAAGCCACUUAGCAACAGAUGACACUUGUCAGUCUCAAAGCCUCCAAGAUAACUAGGGGAGUAAAAUGAUUCUCUUUCGGAAUUGAACGGAAAGGUACAGUACCUGAUGAACUCACCCUAGUGAUGAUGUGGGAGGAGUGAAAACAAAUUUCUUUGGCUACAUAAAGGACACUAUUUUUAGAAAGAAAAAAAUGACUCCCACCCGCUGUUGCUGUCUCCCUCUCUCCUCCCUUCCCUCUCUCCUCUCUAUAUUCUCUGUUCUCCAUUGUGUACCAGUGUCCGUGAAAGACCGCAGUACCACUUACCUCAAAUGAAGCCUGUGUGUUACUCCAAGUAACUCCUUUCAUUUUGACAUAAGAUGGCUGGCCGAGGUGUGUUGCCUUGGUUCGGUCAGCCAUCUCUGCAUUCACGCUGCACUUUUAGCCAGAGAUGCAAUAACCCUCACUACUCAAUACUACCUCUGAAUGCUACCGUGAAUUUACAGUCCUGCACUUGUUACACGCUGCUAGACACAAGCCCUGCGAGAGAGAGAGGAAACAAUAACACAAACCUUUCUCGGUCAGCAUCUCAGCCACCCACAGUUCUCUGUCAUUCUUGUCAAACAAGUGCCCUUACUCUGUCUCAGUGUGGCUAUGCAUGUUUCUAUGAUUUUUUUUUAAAUUAAAAUGUUACAAAUGCUUGUGGCAGCUUCCCUGCUAGAUUGCUACAUUAAUUUGAAACAGUUUUGAAUCAAGUUGCUCCUAGGUUCUUAAGGAUAAUUUUCUUCAGUGACACUACAUUGUAUCACAUACACACAGACACACACACACAUACACACACACACACACACACACACACACACACACACACACACACACACAACACAUCUGUUCAAAUAUAAGUCUCCAAGUCUGUACCUCAAAAAUGGACUUAGUGAUUUGCAAGGACCUACCUCCACACUUCAAAAGGAACAAACUUGUAGUUUAUAACGCUCUUUGAUUUCCUUCCCCAGUGUUUGAAAGAGCUCAAACUUCACCUCUUCUCUCCCUCAUCAAAACUAUUUUUUGUAAAAGACACUUGAUAGAAACAAUUUUACAUACUUAUUUUUCAAAAAAUAAAUGAAUUAAAAAUCAAGCCAACCUUCAAAGAAACUUGAAACUUUGUAGGUAAACUACAACCAGCUCAGCCUUUUGCCUAAUGCAAUCAAAAAAGAAAAUAGGUUUUUAAGAUUAGUUGCCUAUAAGAAUAUGCUUGACAGAUAUUUUUCAUGUAUUUUACACAAUGUGGUUUUUGUAAAAUGUCUUGAGCAGAUUUAUUUUGAACGCUUCUUGUGUAGAGUUCUAUGCCUUUCUCUCCUAGUAAGUGUGCUGGCUUUUCCAUGGUGUUACCCACUGGGCCAGGAGGUAGUCUCUCAUAGUGGCUUGUGUCAGUAUGACUUUUAAUACUGAAGCCAAAUGAAACAAACAAACAACCAUGUCUCUUCCAGCUGUUUUCAGGGAGGUCAUUUCAAAGGCCACAUACCGCUCUGAAACUGGCAGGUUGCUCACUGUCGUGAGUCGCCAAAGGAGCUACGGAGAGAUUAAAGCUCAACAUGACUGUUAACUGCGCAUUAAAUAAGCAAACACACAGUGGCUUAUAGGAAUCGGAUUCCCAUUCCAUAUCUUUGGAUGGGCCUUUCAGAAAGUUCAUUUUGGCCAGCUCAUAAAAACUGAAUCAGUUUCUCAUGCCGGCCAGACUUGGCACACCGAGCGAUAUCCAUCUCUGAUGAAGUUAUUCUUUAUUUCCUGUAUGUUGUACAAUCAAAACACACUACUACCUCUUAAGUCCCAGUAUACCUCAUUUUUCAUACUGAAAAAAAAGAAAAGAAAAAAAAGAAAAAAAAAAGGCUUGUGUCCAAUGGAACAGUGAGAACAUCAUAAAAUUUUUAUAUAUAUAGUUUAUUUUUGUGGGAGAUAAAUUUUAUAAGACUGUUUUUUACUGUUGUUGGUCACGGCUAAGUAAGACUGGACAUCUGACUUCUCUACCGUUUCUGCAAGUUAAGUAUGUUUGCAGGAGAAACUUACCAAGACGAUUAACUGCAGCCGACUUUCUCCCCGUUCCUUUGUACGCCCUCUGCCUUUAUUCUCUAUUCCUUGUGUAGAAUUGCUGUCUAUGAUUGUACUUUGACGGCUUGCUUGUGGCAAUACUGCUCUAGUGGAUUAUCACUGUCUGCACAAUAAACAUAACAGCCUCUGUGGUCCCCGUG
rnacentral:lncRNA from 1 species